rnacentral:rRNA from 1 species
UACGGAGGGUGCUAGCGUUGUUCGGAAUCACUGGGCGUAAAGGGCGCGUAGGCGGCCCUCCUAGUCGCGUGUGAAAGCCCCGGGCUCAACCUGGGAACGGCGCGCGAAACGGGGGGGCUGGAGUUCGGGAGAGGAGAGUGGAAUUCCCAGUGUAGAGGUGAAAUUCGUAGAUAUUGGGAAGAACACCGGUGGCGAAGGCGGCUCUCUGGACCGAGACUGACGCUGAGGCGCGAAAGCGUGGGGAGCAAACAGG